UUUAAAAGUGAACAACAAACUUUUACUAUCAAGAAUUCAAGUAUUCAAGAAUACUUACUAAAGAAAAAUCAAUGAGCAGAACUAAACAGGUAAUAAGAAGACAAGAGACAGCUGUUGUGGGGAGGUCCAAGCAGGAGGUUAAGUGGUGUGGAGAAGACUUAAGGUGGGAGUAAGAAGCAGUACUUUAAUAUUUGCCGUUUCCAGUUUGGAUUUUGCAAACACCUUGUGGUUCAAUCUGGUGGCAGCUUCACACCAUGCAGCCCUUCACUCGCUGCCCUCCCAGUGGGAUGAGGGAGAGAACUGGAAACAAAACAGAUCUCGUGGGCUGAGAUACAAACUAUUUGCGAAGACAAGAAAAGGGAAACAGAAACAAAAAUGCGAUGAUAUCUGUGUCUUUGCAGCGCUGACCACCAUCCAGCCGACCCCCAAGCACCAGCGUGCCCCUUCACAGUUCGAUGGCCCUCCACGUGAUGUCGCAUGGCAUGGAACAACCCUGUGCCUACUUCAGGCCGGCUGUCCUGGCUCUGCCCUGACCCCUUCUCCAUGCCAAUAUGGCAGUGGCCUUUCCCUGUAGAGUGGCCAAGCUCAGCCCGGUCCCAGGUGCACUCCCAUCACUCAGCCACAGCAAAAACAUCAGUGCGCUAAUAACUCUGCCUCAGCUGAAACCACAACACUCCACUUCCUGUCAACAUUUUUUUUUGUGUUCAAGUUCAUUCAGUAUAAUAUUUCCUUACAUAUGCUGAGUUCAUUCUAAGUUUGCCUUCCCCUAUGUUAAAACUUUAAAAUAGGAAAUCAGGAUGCUAAGCAUAUAAAAAACAGUUUUUCCUUUCUAAGUUCUGAAGACUACAGUAAAAUAUUCCACGUAAGCAUGAUUUCUGUCAAUGUUUUUUAAGUUUGCAAUAAUUUAUCACUACUGUGAAGUGCUUGUAGCAAUCUGUGUCAAACAGUGUAUUGCUCCAAUCAAUUAUUAAGGUAGUUUUCAAGUUUUUAUUAAGCUUUAUAAUGAAAGUUCCUUGUCUUUUAGAAAAUUUCAUAAAGGAAUUGACAGAUAGAUGUUCCAUUUAUUAUUACAAAUAAAUGAUAUGUGUAUAAGCA
rnacentral:lncRNA from 1 species